UCGAGAAUCUUCGGCAAUGGACGAAAGUCUGACCGAGCGACGCCGCGUGCGGGAUGAAGGCCCUUGGGUUGUAAACCGCUGUCGUAGAGGAACAAAGGUAUGUGGGUUCUCCCAUGUAUUUGAGUGAUUCUAGGAGGAAGGAGAGGCUAAGCUCGUGCCAGCAGCCGCGGUAAGACGAGCUCUCCAAACGUUAUUCGGUAUCACUGGGCUUAAAGAGUUCGUAGGCGGCUUGACAGGUGAGGUGUGAAAGCCCACGGCCUAACCGUGGAAUUGCGCUUCAAACCGUCGGGCUAGAGGGAUGCAGGGGUAUGCGGAACAGAUGGUGGAGCGGUGAAAUGCGUUGAUAUCAUCUGGAACACCGGUGGCGAAAGCGGCAUACUGGGCAUUUUCUGACGCUGAGGAACGAAAGCUAGGGUAGCGAACGG
rnacentral:rRNA from 1 species